UACGGGGGGGGCAAGCGUUGUUCGGAAUUACUGGGCGUAAAGGGUUCGUAGGUGGCUUGUUAAGGCAGACGUGAAAUCCCUCGGCUCAACCGGGGAACUGCGUCUGAGACUGAUGAGCUCGAGUGCAGGAGAGGAACGCGGAAUUCCAGGUGUAGCGGUGAAAUGCGUAGAUAUCUGGAGGAACACCGGUGGCGAAGGCGGCGUUCUGGACUGCAACUGACACUGAGGAACGAAAGCCAGGAGAGCAAACGGG
rnacentral:rRNA from 1 species